AAUAAAUAGAGGCCUCAUAAAAAGAUUUCACAUAAGGCCUUUCAAACUCUAAAACCGGCCCGGAAUACACGUUCCUUUUGAUCUUUCACAUUAUAAGGGAGAGGUAAAUUAGUUCAAUUUUAGAGAGUAAGACUCGAAUUUCGGUGAUUACAAAUAUUUGAAAAUCAUUCAAUCAGAUUCUUGAGCGUGUAAUAGGAAGCAUCAUGUUACCUUAAUAUAUGCAGUACAACUAUCAUAGACUGAAUAUUAUAAAAUUUUGACCUUUUUAUUUUGAUUGCAUGGUUACUUACUCAUCGUGCUUUUGAGUUCUAUCCAAAUCGGAUAAAUUUGAGCCACUUGGGCUUAUAGCCCAAUGGUGAAUUAUUACCCUCAAAGUUAAAUAUGAUUAUGAGGAUAAUGGUUCGAGUCCCUACGGACUCAACCUCCCUCAAUUAAAUAUAAUUAUGUGGAAAGUACUUACAACAUCUUUUUUCCUUGUAAAAUGCGAAUAGAGUAGAGACAUUCCUCCUUCGUGAGGGUAUUUGAUUGGGUAUAUACUUCGUAGACUAAAAAUAUAAUAAUGUAAGUCUCAUGUAUAUAUAUAUGAUUAUAAAUAUCAGUAUAAUAACUUACUGUCAUAACAGUUGUAUAUAUUUCUCUGUGUAUUACGGUCUCAUGUAUAUAUAUAUGAUUAUAAAUAUUAAUAUAAUAAUUUACUGUUAUAACAAUUAUAUAUAUUUUUCUGUGUAUUACAGUAAUAUGAUACUUAAUCAGUUAAAAAAAAAUCGGAUAAAUUUGUCUGGAAAAUCGAAGAAAGCUCUGAAACAGUCUUAUUAUGCCUCUGAAAUUCGUUUAUAAAAUUAUUAAAAGAAAAACUGCUCUGAGACAGUGUCAGGGUGCCUGCGCCUAUGCAAUGUGAUGGGCUGUACGUAGACUGUCUAGUGUGUAUAGGCACAAUCUUAUCCGCUCAAAACGAAUGCCAAUCAACAAUUUGUCUGAGACAUCAGACAUACAACAAGAAUAGUUGCCGCCAAGGACCAGACCUACUAAAAGAUCUUGUGCCCUUAAUUUGUAAUUGAAAAAAAAAAUAUAUAUAUAUAUAUAUAUAUAUAAACAGAUAAGGUACUGAUAAAUUAUUGAUAAAAAUAAUUUAUACAUCCGGUCUAAUUUAUCGUAUUAUCAAAUGAGUAAAUCAAUAUUAGAUAUGUUUUAACAUUGAUCACGUCAGUAUUUGAUUUUAUUCCUAUAUUAUAAUAUCAGAAACCUUUUUAACAUUUAAGUUUUUAUGAAGACUCAAAUUUUUUUUUUUAAAUGUGAGUGAGGUAUAUAUUUUUUUAAAUAUUAGUGAAUUAGAUUUUUUGAAUUCAUCUAGAUAGAUUUUUGGGUUGCAUUAUAAAUGAACAUAUUUAAAUUCUCAAUCAACCUCAGAAACGUCAGAAUUUAAAUCAAGCACUGGAGCGGAACUGUGCUUAAAUUUUCAUAAUCUCAUGCGAAUGUUUAUAAAACUUAACUCAACAUUGAAGUAAUUAAGUAAUUAAGUUAUAAAUAUUAGUGCUUAAAUUUUUUGAACACUGUUGCUCCUUACUAAUUUUGUAAUUAAGUAAUUAAGUUCUUUUCGCAUUCGUAUAAGCGAGUUUUAUAUAAUUUUUAUAAUGUUAAAUUAUUUAUUAAUUAGGAACACAACAAUACAACAAGAGAAAGAGAGAGCAAAUAAGAGAUACAUUAGUUUAGAGAAUAAUUUUGUUCAUUCUUAAGUAUAUAUAAAUAAGGGAUGAGUUCUCCUUCUAUGAUCACAUAAUCAUACAAAUGAAAUAAAUGAAUAAUAAUUUAAUGGAUACAUCAUUAGUUGUAAGUUUUUAUAAAAAAAAUGAAGAUUUAUUCAAAAAUGAAGAGUUGUUCCGUUGGAAUAGAUAAAAAAAUUACUUUAACGAACAUCCACAUAAAUUAUAUUUAUAAUCUAUUCACAUUAGCAAUUUAACAUGCAUCGUAUCUUAAAACCUAACUAUUUUUUUAUUUUUUGGUUGUUUUGACUUAGUUUUGAUCACUCUUGCCCUUUAGUCUCAAGAACAAAAAUAGAUAAAGUAUGGUUCAGCUAUGAUGCCACAGUUGUAUGAUACCACAACUUAAUCCAGCCAUUGAAUUCAGCUUUGGUGACAACUGUGGACUAGAUCUAAUGAUUGAAUCUAGAUGUAGUACCAUACAACUGUGGUACCAUAGCUUUGCUCGAUAAAGUGACCAUAUUUUAUCAUCAUUAUAGCUACAUCUCCGUCAGGGCCUUAACUGAGACCGAUUUAAUUUUUAAUUUAUGUCUUCCAAAAAGAUGGUCACAUGGUCAAACUACAUAGAGAAAUAGGGGUUUGUAAAUUAUAUUAAAAAAUAAAAAUUAUCAUGUUUAAAUAUGAAUAUAAUGGAAGGUACGUUCAAAAUGUCAAAUAAUGUUAGGUAGUCAAAUUUCCAAAUUUCUAAUAUUAUGUAGCUUUGAAAACAAUGGUGAGAACUAGGAAUGGCAAAAUGCCGGGUCGGGCUCGGGCUUGGUCAAGUCCUACCCGACCCGAUAAAAAAAAAUUUGAAACCCAACCCUAAAAAAGCACGAACACUAUUUAGUUAGGGUCGGGCCGAGCCUAACCCGAAUCGGGCCAACAUCGGGUCGGGCCCAACCCGACCCUACCGAAAUAGUUAACCCCACAAUUCAAUUCCCAUUUCCCACCACCAUUUCAACCAAUUCGGCAAUUACUCAACCAUUUCAAACACAAUUUAAUCCACUUUCCACAACCAUUUCAACCAAUUCCACAACUAUUUCAACCCCACACACAAAUCAAUUCCAAAAUCCAACAUGAAAAACACACAAUGCAAUUAAAUUAAAAAUACACAAUGGAAUUCCACAAUCAUUUUACCCAUACACAAUUCAAUUCAACAACCCAACAUAAAAAAUAAAAAAUAAAAAACUCAUGUCUUAUAUAAAUAAAAACACAAUACAAUUAAAUUAAAAACACACAAUGUAAUUCCACAACUAUUUUAGUCAUACACAAUUCAAUUCAACAACCCAACAAAAAAAAAAAAAAAACUCAUGUCUUAUACAAAUAAAAAUACAAUGCAAUUAAAUUCAAAACACACAAUGUGUGAUGUUGUGAGGAUGUGUUGUGUGCGUGUGUUAACUUGUGUUAGUUUUUUUUUUUUAAAUAGGGUCGGGUCGGCAUUAAGCCCGACCUUGACCCUAAAUUUAUUUGGGCCUUAAAAUCUUAGCCCUAACCCGACUCUAAACUUGAAAAUUCGGCCAAAGCCCUAAAAAUUAGGGUCGGGUCAAUCGGGCCAAAAAUAGGGUCGGACUAAAUUGCCAAGUCUAGUGAGAACCAGCGAUAAAGUUUGGGGUCAGGGAUUGGCAUAUCAAGGCUUAGGGUACUGCCAUGUGGAUGGUUGAAAAUCGGCACGAAAUUGUUGUAUCAAUUACUGUGGAGACUCACCCUUAGUUGCAAGGGUGUUUGCCGAUCGAAUUAGGUGGAUUCAACAUUAAUUUAUAUCUGAAUUAUAAUUUUACAUAUUGUAAAUUUUUUAUUUAAUUU
rnacentral:lncRNA from 1 species